rnacentral:lncRNA from 1 species
AAUUUGUCCAAAUCUGUUUUGGAGAAUAAGGUAACGAAAUUUUCCAAAUUUUUUUUCAAUUUAUAUCCGUGCCUUAAACAGUUUAUGUGGUUGUACAUGAAGUUUGAGUUCCAUUUGACAAAGGUUAACUCAACAACGGAGAUUCGACUACACUAUGCCCCCGAUGAGCGAAGGUUUGUUUUAAAUGAAAAAGGUAAAAUCGACCAUUAUUCUU